GUCAGGUUCAUGGUCCCCAUCAUCGCUGUCCGAGUCCUCGUUGUGCCCAUCUUUGAAGCCAGGGACCUCGCGGGGGUCGGGCUCCUGGGGCUGAUACUUGGCCGUGCCCUUGGAGCUCUUGGGGCGGGACAGCUUCUUCUGGAUGCGGCCACCAGGGUUGGGCUCUUUCCGUCGGAAGGGGCUGAUGCCAGCAGGGAGCCCUUUGCUCUUCACCUUCUGCUUCAGCUGCGACACUUUGUGAGCCACCUUGCAGGCCAGCUUGCUCUGCGCGCCGCUCUUCUUGCACCGCACCUUCUCCGCAGCCCCGGCCAUGGCUCCGUACUGCUGCUCCAGUUUGCUGCGCUUCUUCUUGGGCUGGGGCUCGGCGCGCAGCUCGGCGCACAGCAGGGACAGGCUGCUCUGCACCGCCUUGACCUUGCGGCUCUCGGCCCGGCCCAGCGUGCUGCAGUGCUUGCGCUUCCUCGGCCGCCCCGGCCCGCGCCGCGCCGGGCUCCGCGAGCUCUCGUCGCGCUCGUGGUCAUGCCGCCGCUGCAGCUUCACCAACUCGCGCUGCUUCUCCUUGUAGCGCC
rnacentral:lncRNA from 1 species